UUAACUUAACGAUUUGACGGUAAUUUAUUUCCUAAAGGAACUUGUAACUUAAUCGAAAUUACACGAAUUAUUUCACUUAUAUUUAUCUUGUAUACCUCCGUGUAGAUUUUGUUUAUGAUAAAAUUUCUAUAGAAUUAUUAUUAAGAUAUCAGGUCAAGGUGCAGUAUAUAUGAGUUGUUAUGUGUUACAUUAAAUAAAUAAUUAUUGAAUUUAAUUUGAAAAUAUUAAUGAAAAUGAAUUUAUAAGUAAGAAAAAUUAAAAUAUUUUUCUGGAAUAUUAAUGUUAUGUACACAU
rnacentral:rRNA from 1 species